GGCCAUGGCUCAGUGGUAGAAUAUGUACCUGGAAUACAGAAAGUCCUGAGUUCAAUUCUCAGCAUCACCA
rnacentral:tRNA from 1 species